rnacentral:rRNA from 1 species
AGUGAACGCUGGCGGUAGGCCUAACACAUGCAAGUCGAACGGCAGCACAGUAAGAGCUUGCUCUUACGGGUGGCGAGUGGCGGACGGGUGAGGAAUACAUCGGAAUCUACUUUUUCGUGGGGGAUAACGUAGGGAAACUUACGCUAAUACCGCAUACGACCUACGGGUGAAAGCAGGGGAUCUUCGGACCUUGCGCGAUUGAAUGAGCCGAUGUCGGAUUAGCUAGUUGGCGGGGAAAGGCCCACCAAGGCGACGAUCCGUAGCUGGUCUGAGAGGAUGAUCAGCCACACUGGAACUGAGACACGGUCCAGACUCCUACGGGAGGCAGCCUUGGGGAAUACUCGACACUGGGCGCAAGCCUGAUCCAGCCACACCGCGUGCGUGAAGAAGGACUUCGGGUUGUAACGCCCUUUUCUUGGGAAAGAAAAGCAGCAGGUUAAUACCCCGCUGUUCUGCCGGUACCCAAAGAAUAAGCCCCGGCUAACUUCGUG